rnacentral:tRNA from 1 species
UUCCCUGUGGCUCAGUUGGUGGAGCAUGGUGUUUGCAACGCCAGGGUUGUGGGUUCGAUUCCCACGGGGGACC